ACAUAGCUUUCAGCGAAAAGUCUUUGGCUUGAAGGAUUGGAGGUGAGGCCUGCCCAAUGGUUGUAUCUAAAUUUAAAUGAUAAAAUAAGUUAUUUAAUUAAAGACAAUUAAAUGGCCGCGGUAACUCUGACCGUGAUAAUGUAGCGCAAUAAAUAGCCAAUUAAUUGUUGGCAAGUAUGAAUGGCGUAACGAAUGCCCCACUGUCUCAAGAUAAAAACCAGUGAAAUUGAAGUUGUAGUGAAGAUGCUACAGACAAGUUGUAAGACGAGAAGACCCCGUUGAGCUUUACUGGAGGCUUAAAUUGUUUUUAAAAUUAAGGUGUAGAUUAUGUGGGAACUUAUGAAAAUUCCACUCCUUAGAUAUAAGAAACCAACCAAUAGUUUAUUGGGGAAGUUUAAGUUGGACAGUUUGGUUGGGGCGACCGCCUUCUAAAGAGUAACGAAGGUGAACAAAAGGUAAAUAAUGAAAUAGCAUAAAGAAAAAGCCUGACAGUGAGGAGGACCUCCAAGCUGACACAGGAUGAAUUAGGAAAAAUUCAAUAAUAUUAAUUAAAAUUAAUACUGUGGGUUAUAGUGACCCGUUAGUUAAGAGUGGGUUUGCUAACGAGCAACGAAUAAAAGUUACCACGGGGAUAACAGCGUAAUCUCGUUUGAGAGUUCAUAUCGAUGACGAUGUU
rnacentral:rRNA from 1 species